rnacentral:lncRNA from 1 species
AUUUCCUCCCAGUUUUCAUCAGUUUUAAGUCUAGGCACAGUGUAGCAUAGUUGGUUCCCCUGAUCCAGGUCUCGCAAGAACCAAAUCAAGAUGUUGACAGGGCUUUGUUCUUUUCUAGUGGCUGAUUGUUAGAAUAUGUGCUUGGCAGAAGUCAGUUCCUCGUGCUUAUAGGAGAAGGUCUGUUUCCUUGCUAGCUGUCAGCUAUGGGCUGUCUUAGCUAUUAAAGGCAACUCUCUGGUCCUUCGGUUGGCCCCCUAUGUCUCAAAACCAGCAUAGGUGCAUCAACUGUUUCUCGUGCUCAGAAUCUCUUGGACUUCCCCUUCUAUAACAUCUUUCCUGCCUUUUCUUCUACCACAUGUGACUCCAGCCUGAGAAAAUGAUCUGCCUUUAAGACUUACGUGAUUAGGUUGGGAUCACCCAGGAUUUUGAAAAAGCAAGCUGACAUAAAUCCUAUAAUCACAAGGAAAUGAGUUUUACCAACAACCAGAGAAAGCUUGGAAGCAGAUUCUUUCUACGUAGAGCCUCCAGAUGAGAACCAGCUAAGUCAUGCCUGGACUUCUGACCCACAGAAACUGAGGAUAAUAAAUGUUUUAAGCCACCAAGUUUGCGAUAAUUUGUUACAAAGCAUAGAAAGCUAACACAGAUGACUUGAAUUCUAAAUUCCAUGUAAAAUUUUAUAACUUUUCUCUUUAUGUAUUCAGAUAAACAAUAUUCCUUACACACAUUUGAAAACAUAUCAAUAUAAGACAGCUAAAUAUUUUUUAAAGUUACAACGUAAUACAAAUAGAAGAUAUAUAAGAAAGCAAAAUCAAAUUAUGUUUUCCUUUCAGAAUUAUAAAACCCCCACCUAGCAAUGCUAGGCUCCUGACAUAAAUUACUGAAAAAUAGUCAGUAAUGAAUUUUAAAGCCAAAACAGAAAGUCUUAGUCCCUUUCUACCAAAAAGGUAUUUAACACAUCUUAAAACAAAAAUCGAGUAACCCGGGGAGGAUAAAAUAAAUUUGUGUCACACCAAAGGAAGAUGUAAAAAUUGUUUGGUUUGCAGAAAAAUCAUUCAAAAUCAUUUCAAUCCUUGGCUCAUAAAUAAUGCAAACUUAAUGAGAUAUUCUAUCCUAACAUGUAUAGAUGAAGUUCUUAAUUAUUUCAAAGGGGAUUGUGCCUACAUACCUGAAAUUUAAACUUUCCCUGUAGAAAACAAUAAAAACAUACACUUCUUUAUAGAUAUAUUUAGAAUGUGUUAUCCCCAACUAAUAUUUUCUAAACUACACACAUACUUAAACACUGAAUUUAAGAUAUAAACUGAGAUCCUUACCAAUUUUGAAUGGAGUUUAAUCACAUCAACCCACAUAAAAGUCUCACAUGAACACAUAUUUUUAUGUGACAUAUUUUUCUUCAAAUAAAUAUUGCUUCUCAGACUUUUUAGCAACUGUGGCAAAAACACUCAUUGUGAAUUUAUUUUUCUUACAGCUUGUAUAUGUUUUCUUUAUCUUGAAUUGUCUGCCCAAGUAGAUGAGAGAUUUGAAAAAUUCUGUCGACAGUGGUAACAGAGUCAGAGGUCAAAAGUUUCCAAGCAUGAACUAAACCUAAACAGCAAGAAAAAUAUCAAAAUGUAUGCAAAAAUACACAGAAAGGUUAUUGAUCUUCUAAAAUCAUACCAGAUUUUAGAAGAAAUACCAGAAAAUAGCCUUAAGGAAAUAAACCUUGUGUUUGUCUAAUAAAACCCAUCAAGAAGUAUGUAAUAAUUACAUCAACCCUCUUGAAAUUUUUUUAAAAAGGCCAAGUCUAUAGAAUGAAUAGUAUCAGGCCAAGAAAAAAAAUUCAGGCCCUGUUUCCAAGGACAAUAAUAGUGGAACAGACAGAUAGUGGCCAGUCUAGCCUGGGGAAUGCAAACCAACCAAGUAAAAAAUUUGACAACUCAGUUUUUUAUAAAAUUAAACCAAUGCUGUGUAUAAAAGUAUCCAGAAUGAAAUGAAGAACUGACUCAUAUUUUGAUAAUUAAUGCUCAAAAAUGUGAAAUUUUCUGUUCCAUUAUUUAGGUAUUUUAAGAAAAAUUUACUUUAAAUUUUUGCUUUAUGUGACUAUAAUAGCUAUAUUUCAUGUAUUAGCAUUUAUACAUACAAAGGCUGUAGAGUUUUACCAGACUUUAUUCGAGGGUCCAGAGUACUUAAAGAGAACAAUACAGGAAUAGAAAUAGCAUAAACUAUAUACUUCAAAUAAUUUCACAGGGCUGUGUAAGCAUUUUAAGGAAUUGAGGCUUUAUCCUAAGCCUAAGGGAAAGCCAUCCAUAUAACCAAAUUUCUGUUUGGAAAAAUGUGCUCUGGUUGUAGUACAGAGAAUUAGUUGUCAGAACAAAGGUGAGAUGGUGGUGAUAUAGAUGCCAAAGUAAGAAAAUAUGAAUGUGCUAUGCUAUUUCACUCUUCUGUCCUUCACCAACCUAUUUUCUCUGCUUCCUUUUCUCUUUGUUCAUAUUUUCAGUUCAAGUUUCACCCCUUCUAUGAAACAUUUCAUGAAGUAUCAGCCCAUUCUGUACAAUCAACCACUCCUGCCUCUGUGCCCAAACAGUAUAUGCUUUUAUCAUGGCCCAUGCCAUUGAAAUGCAUUUAGCUGUAUAUGUAUAUUCGUCCUUGUACAAAUCAAUAAAUAAAUUCUUAAUGAAAUUUAUUUUCUGUCUCCAGCAUCUAAACAAUGUUUUGCCUUGUGCUAAUCAAAAAAGUUCUGGUUGACAUUUGAAAUGGUUAUUUUGAUAAUCUCUUUCUGUACCUUCCCUAAAGAUUACUCUUAAGACAUUCUGAAAAUAUCCAUUUUGGCAAAGUUGUAUGAGUUAUUCAAGAUUACUGUAAUUUAAGUUGCUAACAAAAUGGAUCCUAUCUAUUUGUUCACCCUUUAUUUCCCUG